rnacentral:ncRNA from 16 species
GUGCACGAACACGGGAGUCCGGUGAGCCGGGCUGAGAGGAAGGUUCUCAACCUUCGACCGUCGAACCUGAUCUGGAUCAUGCCAGCGCAGGGAGGCAUCCACAUCUCAACAA